AACGCUGGCGGCGGGCUAGGCACAUGCAAGCCGAACGAGACUUCGGGUUAGUGGCGGACGGGUGAGUAACGCGUGAGAAUCUGCCCUCAGGAGGGGGAUAACGGCUGGAAACGGCCGCUAAUACCCCAUAUGCCGAGAGGUGAAAUGAAUUUCGCCUGAGGAUGAGCUCGCGUCUGAUUAGCUAGUUGGUGAGGUAAUGGCUCACCAAGGCUUCGAUCAGUAGCUGGUCUGAGAGGAUGAUCAGCCACACUGGGACUGAGACACGGCCCAGACUCCUACGGGAGGCAGCAGUGGGGAAUUUUCCGCAAUGGGCGAAAGCCUGACGGAGCAACGCCGCGUGAGGGAUGAAGGCCUCUGGGCUGUAAACCUCUUUUAUCAAGGAAGAAGAUCUGACGGUACUUGAUGAAUAAGCCACGGCUAAUUCCGUGCCAGCAGCCGCGGUAAUACGGGAGUGGCAAGCGUUAACCGGAAUUAUUGGGCGUAUAGCGUCCGCAGGCGGCCUAGUGAGUCUGUUGUUAAAGCGUGGGGCUCAACUCCAUUUCAGCAAUGGAAACUACUGGGCUAGAGUGUGGUAGGGGCAGAGGGAAUUCCUCGUGUAGCGGUGAAAUGCGUAGAUUUGGGGAAGAACACCAGUGGCGAAGGCGCUCUGCCGGAUCAUAACUGACGCUCAUGGACGAAAGCCAGGGGAGCGAAAGGGACUAGAUACUCCUGUAGUCCUGGCCGUAAACGAUGAACACUAGGUGUCGGGAGAAUUGACUCGCUCGGUGUCGUAGCGCGCGUAGUAAGUGUUCCGCCUGGGGAGUACGCACGCAAGUGUGAA
rnacentral:rRNA from 1 species